UAUGCCUCUUACUAAAGAAUAACAGUUGGAAACGACUGCUAAUGCUUUAUAUAUCUUUUAUACAUAAGUAUUAAAAGGGAAAGAUUUAUCGGUAAGAGAUUAGCUUGUAUUGUAUCAGUUAGUUGGUGAGGUAAUGGCUUACCAAGACGAUGACGCAUAACUGGUUUGAGAGGAUGAUCAGUCACACUGGAACUGAGACACGGUCCAGACUCCUACGGGAGGCAGCAGUGGGGAAUAUUGCACAAUGGACGGAAGUCUGAUGCAGCAACGCCGCGUGGAGGAUGACACAUUUCGGUGCGUAAACUCCUUUUAUAUAAGAAGAUAAUGACGGUAUUAUAUGAAUAAGCACCGGCUAACUCCGUGCCAGCAGCCGCGGUAAUACGGGGGGUGCAAGCGUUACUCGGAAUCACUGGGCGUAAAGAGCAUGUAGGCGGAUUGAUAAGUUUGAAGUGAAAUCCUAUAGCUUAACUAUAGAACUGCUUUGAAAACUGUUAAUCUAGAAUGUGGGAGAGGUAGAUGGAAUUUCUGGUGUAGGGGUAAAAUCCGUAGAUAUCAGAAGGAAUACCGAUUGCGAAGGCGAUCUACUG
rnacentral:rRNA from 1 species